UACGGAGGGUGCGAGCGUUGUCCGGAAUCACUGGGCGUAAAGCGCACGUAGGCGGCUUUCUAAGUCGGGGGUGAAAUCCUGGAGCUCAACUCCAGAACUGCCUUCGAUACUGGAGAGCUUGAGCCCGGGAGAGGUGAGUGGAACUGCGAGUGUAGAGGUGAAAUUCGUAGAUAUUCGCAAGAACACCAGUGGCGAAGGCGGCUCACUGGCCCGGUACUGACGCUGAGGUGCGAAAGCGUGGGGAGCAAACAGG
rnacentral:rRNA from 1 species